UACAGAGGUCUCAAACGUUGUUCGGAUUCAUUGGGCGUAAAGGGUGCGUAGGCGGCGCGGUAAGUCGGGGGUGAAAUCUCGGGGCUUAACUCCGAAACUGCAUUCGAUACUGCCGUGCUUGAGGACUGGAGAGGAGACUGGAAUUUACGGUGUAGCGGUGAAAUGCGUAGAUAUCGUAAGGAAGACCAGUGGCGAAGGCGGGUCUCUGGACAGUUCCUGACGCUGAGGCACGAAGGUCAGGGGAGCAAACGGG
rnacentral:rRNA from 1 species